rnacentral:rRNA from 1 species
CACGUAGUUAGCCGGGGCUUCUUAGUCAGGUACCGUCAUUAUCUUCCCUGCUGAUAGAGCUUUACAUAUCGAAAUACUUCUUCACUCACGCGGCGUCGCUGCAUCAGGGUUUCCCCCAUUGUGCAAUAUUCCCCACUGCUGCCUCCCGUAGGAGUCUGGGCCGUGUCUCAGUCCCAAUGUGGCCGUUCACUCUCUCAAGCCGGCUACUGAUCGUCGCCUUGGUAGGCCGUUACCCUGCCAACUAGCUAAUCAGACGCGGGUCCAUCUCACAGCGAUAAAUCUUUGAAGGAACCUUCAUGCGGAGAUCCCUUGUUAUGCGGUAUUAGCAGCCGUUUCCGGCUGUUGUCCCCCUCUGUGAGGCAGGUUACCCACGCGUUACUCACCCGUCCGCCACUCAGUCAUUACCAUCUUCCCUCCGAAAAGUUCCGUCGGUAGCGCUUCGUUCGACUUGCAUGUGUUAAGCACGCCGCCAGCGUUCAUCCUGAGCCAGGAUCAAA